CAAUACAAUGCUAUGUCAUAUUUUGACACUUUUUUAAAUAAAUAUUUUAAGAGGAAAGCUCUUCACCGAAAGGUACUUUUCAAGGAGGUCCUCUUUCGAGUAAAGUGGAAUUUUUUUCUUCUCAUUCUGAUUUCGACUUCACUCUGCGGUAUCGAGCGUUUUCAAAACUGUUCAAAUUCAAAACUGUUAUAUAUCGUUCUCAUUAUGCCAGAAUAGAAAUCCAUUUAACUGAACUCAAUCGUUUGAUAAGCACACGUACUGGGAAAUUGGACAACACAAUUAAAUACUUAUUAGAUUUUACGAGAUGUUUAAGUAAUAUUUAUAAUCAGAAAAUACAUUUUCAUUUGACAACGAAUCUCAGUCCUUUUCCUUGUCGAUGGAUACCUCUGGACAAUGUAAUUUUUUGUGAAUAAGUAAUUUUCCUUUAAAACAUUUUCCAUUUCAAUCCAUUCUCGUCCCCAGAGCCAUUUUCACUCGCGCGUGGCCGAGAGGCCCUUGGAACGAGGUUGACUCAUGACUCACGUGUAUGUUCAGGCCUGUUAGCCUUACAUAUUGUACCCAAACGUAGCGUAUGGCUUUUGUUUCACGAGCAUUGAAAUGGCACUAAUGACUGCGCAAGCUAAAACAAACAAAAAAAAGUUUAAAAAAAUUUAGAAAAAAAAUUUAAAAAAAAUUUCUACAAAAGAAAAUUCUACGCUACGUUAGGCCUAUAAGACACGAUUGAAUUGGAAAACAGCAUUGAAAUGAAUAGAACUGAAACGCUAUCUUCAGAUUUGGGAACUGAAACGCUAUCUGGGAUUCAGAUUUGGCUUCAAGAAAAAGAUAGGCAGAUUAUCUGAAGGUAAACAGACACAAUGUGUAGCACUUGUCAUAUGUUUUCUGAAGCCAAAUAAAUCCUAAUUCUUGUUCAAACACUGAACAAUGUUGAACAGAACCGUUUUCACGAGACACAAGGUGAAUACAAUAUUCCCAGCGUCAUUACGGUCGCCAAUCACUGCAUUGUAACUACUUGUAACAAUCGAUCAGGUGCAGAUGUCUUUAUGAAUCUUUGCAAAUGAGUUUCCAAUUUGCAACACUAUCUUUCGUGAAAGCAACCAAGUAUUCACAAAACAUAUAUAAGUCUUUGACAGUUUACACCUCUUUCAAAACCUUUCCUUCAGAAGUCCUGUACGGUCACAUAAAGUGAAAAUGAAAUAUGUUGCUAUAUCACGCCUGUCGUUCGGUAAACAUCAUUAUAAACAUAGUAUAACUAAUUGAUAUUUGAAUUCAGCUGUAAUUACAUUCGCAAGACUGAAGCAUUUAUAUUUCCAAUUCACUGCUUUGGCGGCUUGCAUAUCUUUUGUCGUGGUUUUGACAC